UUAAGCUACAAAGAGCGUAGGGAGAAUGCCUAGGUACCAAGAGCCGAAGAAGGACGUGAUAAGCUGCGAAAAGCCACGGGGAGGAGCAAAUAUCCAUCGAGCCGUGGGUGUCCGAAUGAGGGAACUCAUACAGUAAAAAAAGACUGUAUAUCCAUACAUGAGUAAAGUAGUGUAUAGGAAGGGAACGUGGGGAACUGAAACAUCUUAGUACCCAUAGGAAAAGAAAGUAAUAACGAUUCCUGAAGUAGUGGCGAGCGAAACAGGAAGAGCCCAAACCAUAGAUAGUAAUAUUUGUGGGGUUCGGAUUAUCAAUAAAGCCAAGAAUGAUGUUAGUAGAAUUACCAGGGAAGGUAAACCAAAGAAGGUGAAAGUCCUGUAUAUGAAAACAGAGUGAAGGCGAGAUAAAUCCAGAGUAGUGCGAGACACGAGAAAUCUCGUAUGAAAGAGCGGAGACCAUUCCGUAAGGCUAAAUACUACUUGGUAACCGAUAGAGAACAAGUACCGUGAGGGAACGGUGAAAAGGACCCCGGGAGGGGAGUGAAAGAGAACCUGAAACCCUAUGUUUACAAGCAGAUAGAGCGAUUUAAGGCGCGAUAUCGUACUUUUUGUAGAACGGUCCAGCGAGUUAUUGUAUAUGGCGAGGUUAAGUUCUGAAUAAGGAAUGGAGCCGAAGAGAAAUCGAGUCUGAAUAGGGCGAUAUAAGUCAUAUAUAAUAGACCCGAAACCGGGUGACCUAUCCAUGGUCAGGAUGAAGCUGAAGUAAAAUUCAGUGGAGGUCCGAACUGAUUGUCGUUAAAAAGGCACCGGAUGAACUGUGGAUAGCGGAGAAAUUCCAAUCGAACUCGGAGAUAGCUGGUUCUCCUCGAAAUAGCUUUAGGGCUAGCCUUGAGGUAAAAGAAUUAUGGGGGUAGAGCACUGAAUGAGGUAGGGGCCAAACCAGGUUACUGAACUCUAUCAAACUGCGAAUACCAUAAUUAGAAUACUCAGGAGUCAGACUGCGGGAGCUAAGUUCCGUGGUCAAAAGGGAAAGAGCCCAGACCGACAAUUAAGGUCCCAAAGAUAUAGUUAAGUGGAAAACGAUGUGAAUUUGCAUAAACAACCAGGAUGUUGGCUCAGAAGCAGCCACUCAUUCAAAGAGUGCGUAACAGCUCACUGGUCGAGUGAAUUUGCGCGGAAAAUUACCGGGGCUAAACUAUACACCGAAAUUUCGGAUUUACGUAUGAAAAUAUGUAAGUGGUAGAGGAGCAUUCUGUAGUAGGACGAAGUCAAAGCGAAAGCAUUGGUGGACGAGGCAGAAGAGAGAAUGCUGGAAUAAGUAGCGAGAGCAAGGUGAGAAUCCUUGCCGUCGAAAGUCUAAGGUUUCCUGGGGAAGGUUCGUCCGCCCAGGGUAAGUCGGGGCCUAAGGAGAGGCCGAAAGGCGUAUCUGAUGGAUAGCAGGUGGAGAUUCCUGCACUAUAGCUAGUUUUAAAAGAUGCAAGGGACGCAGUAGAGGAAGAUAACCAAGGAAGAGGAAAGACUUGGUCCGCAAGGGAUAGUGAAAAUUAAUAGUAACGAAAUAUCAAGAAUCACACUGACGAGAAAAGCUUGUAGAUAUUAACUAGAAAUACCCGUACCGCAAACCGACACAGGUAGAUGAGGAGAGGAUCCUAAGACGAGCGGGAGAAGCAUUGUUAAGGAACUCGGCAAAAUAACCCCGUAACUUCGGGAGAAGGGGAACCUAAGUAAAAUUAGGUCGCAGAGAAAAGGCCCAAGCAACUGUUUAACAAAAACACAGGUUUCUGCAAAAUCGAAAGAUGAAGUAUAGGAGCUGACGCCUGCCCAGUGCUGGAAGGUUAAGGGAAAGAGUUAGAUGUAAGUCGAAGCUUAGAACUAAAGCCCCAGUGAACGGCGGCCGUAACUAUAACGGUCCUAAGGUAGCGAAAUUCCUUGUCAGGUAAGUUCUGACCCGCACGAA
rnacentral:rRNA from 1 species